rnacentral:lncRNA from 1 species
GAUUUAGAGAUGAAUAUUGGAGAAUGGCUGUAGUCGAGCCAGAAAGAGGGAAGCAGGGGAGGCGGCGGCCUGCCGACUGCUGCUGCCUGUCACGGUGGCGGCGACGGCGACCGUUUCUGCCGGCCGAAAAAGGAAGCAUGCGCCAGAUCUGGUGGGGGCUGGACGGCCGCUGCUGCUGUCAGGGAGCAAGAGGGAGGUCGAGGGAGAGAGGUUGGAGGAGAAAGGGGG